CGCGCGUCGAGGUCAAAGACAACAAAAAGUGAAUAAUGUCCAGCAAAGGAGACAAAAUUGAACCCGAAUUGAAAGCUAUUUCCAGCAAUUCUGAGGACAAAAACGAAGGGACAAAAAAUGGACGCAUUUUGUGCUAUGUCUGCGGGGGAAACGGAGGUAACUGGUCGCUAUAUUGUAAAGAAAACGAAGCAGAAAAAUCGCCCUAUUUUCCAUCUCUGCAAUCGAUUGACAAGGCGGAAGGCGCUCAACCGAUGAGGUCAAAUGGUCGUAUCGACGCUUGCACACUUUGCUUUUCGUUUUUAAUACAACAAUGGCAUUCGUAUGAGGAAAACGAUACCCCGAUGUCGAAACGAAAUUAUUGGUUAAAGCGAUCGGGGACUGUAAACAACGAUAUGUUGACUUUAGAUGAAGACAAAUUUAGUGACGACGAAUCCAAUACUUCAGCAGGGAAAAGCCACGAAAUAAUCAUGGAAUCAAGUAUUAAUUCGGAUAGUGCAAAUGACGCCAAAAGUCUAGAAAAUAAUUUUCCGGGUUUAAGUGGUUCGGAUAAGAGCAAGCAUGAAAUUAAUAACAAGAGGUCCUCAGAUGAGCUAUCGUCAACAGCUCAAAAUGAAAACAAGAAAAAGUGUGAGAAACUUGGAAAGGAGAGCAAGAAUUCGAAAAGUCUACAGGAGGGAAUUGAGGACAUAGAAAGGGGGGAGUCAUGCUGUUCUUGCGGCCAACAAGGGGGGAGCAUUCACCUAAGGACCAUUUACACGAAGCCGCAACUUAAAACCGAGACCCCCUUCUAUCCAUUCCUAGCCCAACGCUCUCACAAAGUUGAUUUUAUGGGAAAAGUUAAAGUUUGUAAAAGUUGCAAAGUUUAUUUAUGUAAACAGUGGGAGAAGUACGAGAAGUCGUGUACACCCUUAUCUGAACGAUAUUAUACCCUGCCGUCAGCGUGCGAUGUUCGAAAAGAGGCUAAUGCAGAUCUGUUUGUUUGCUUCCUCUGUGGUGAAGACCAUCCCAAAACAUCAGGACAAAAUGUCCGAGCUACGAAAGGAAAUUCCGG